ACGUUGGUUCAAGAGAUCGGGGAGAUGGAAAAUCAUUUUUUCCCAAUUUUUACAUUUUUUUUUCAGUUAUAUGUCGAAACAAUUUUUGGUCAUUGUUUUUGGACAUUUUAAAAUUCAGAUUUUCUCCCUCUCUACCCUUCCCCCAUGUCCAAGGCUAUGAAUAGUCCAAUACAGGUUAUAGUGGUACUUUUAUAUAAUGCAUAUUUCCAUAUUGUUCAUGUCAUGAUAGAAGACACCAACAAGAGAAAUCUCACGAAGAAAAUAUAGUGAAAAGUGGCACACUUUGAUCUGUACCCAGACUCCAGCAGUUCCUUCUUUGGGUGUGGAGAGCAUUUUUGUCGUGUGUUCCUUGUGGUUAUUUUGGAUACUUGCUUUGUUGAUAAUGGUUUAUCCUGGAAGAAGAUCAUUUUAGACCAUGAUAGGGCCAAGAUCUUGAGCAUCCUUACAGAGGCAGAGAUUUUUCUCCUCCCCAUUCGCAGGGAGCCUUAAAAAGGCAUAAGAGAAGUGAAAUAUUUUUUUUUUAAAAAGCAGGUUCUUUGUCAUAAAGUCAUAGAAAUACAAGCCUCCAGUUCCAUGUGGACUGCUGUGAUUGGGCAGCCCUUCAGUGAUGUAAUCCCAUGACCAGGACAAAGGAAGAAUAUCUCAAACAGGCACGAGUGAACAGCAUUGCUGAGAAGCAGACAUCCUUCUCAGCAGUGAUCUCAGCCACUAAGAGUUGUGCAAGAACCUGAGAUCCUAUCCACAAGGAACUUCCAGUGUGAAGACUCCCUUCAUUCAGAACAAGUCCUAAAGAGCUGCUGAAGAAACUGGGAGACUAAAUGGAUUGUUGAGGCUCCCCCCACUAGGAAAAGGCUUGGCACAAUACCUACCCACGCCCUGCCUCCCUUUUCAGAGACAGCCAUUUUCUUACUAUUGGAAAAGCUGUCCCUUGCCGUAGCUUGUCAUCAUCACAAAUGCCUGGCACCCUGGCUCUAGCUCAAGCCCCCAGGGGAAAUUCAAAAGCCAAAUGACCGGGCAUCUCCCCAAUGGGGUCAAGCCAUCACCCCAGCAGCCAAGCCAAGCCCUGGUCCCUCCAGGUCCAAGGGAGUCAGGCUCUCAGGAACAAGCUGUUCCCACAGCCCUCAAGUAACUAGAAAACGCCCUGAAGCCGCCCAAGAACUUCUAAACAUGCUCUGACGUGGAGGAGCCCUAAAGCUCAGCCUGGGCAACCUGCCUCCCUCCGGGAAAACCCAGCCCCAGCCCAGAGCUCCCAAAUGAAAUGUUUCUGGUCUAA